AGCGGCGAACGGGUGAGUAACACGUAGGUGAUCUGCCCAUCAGACGGGGACAACGAUUGGAAACGAUCGCUAAUACCGGAUAGGACGAAAGUUUAAAGGUGCUUCUGGCACCGCUGAUGGAUGAGCCUGCGGCGCAUUAGCUAGUUGGUAGGGUAAAGGCCUACCAAGGCGACGAUGCGUAGCCGACCUGAGAGGGUGAACGGCCACACUGGGACUGAGACACGGCCCAGACUCCUACGGGAGGCAGCAGUUGGGAAUCUUCGGCAAUGGGCGAAAGCCUGACCGAGCAACGCCGCGUGAAUGAUGAAGGCCUUCGGGUUGUAAAAUUCUGUUAUAAGGGAAGAACGACUUUAGUAGGAAAUGGCUAGAGUGUGACGGUACCUUAUGAGAAAGCCACGGCUAACUACGUGCCAGCAGCCGCGGUAAUACGUAGGUGGCGAGCGUUAUCCGGAAUUAUUGGGCGUAAAGAGCGCGCAGGUGGUUGAUUAAGUCUGAUGUGAAAGCCCACGGCUUAACCGUGGAGGGUCAUUGGAAACUGGUCGACUUGAGUGCAGAAGAGGGAAGUGGAAUUCCAUGUGUAGCGGUGAAAUGCGUAGAGAUAUGGAGGAACACCAGUGGCGAAGGCGGCUUCCUGGUCUGUAACUGACACUGAGGCGCGAAAGCGUGGGGAGCAAACAGGAUUAGAUACCCUGGUAGUCCACGCCGUAAACGAAGAGUGCUAAGUGU
rnacentral:rRNA from 1 species